rnacentral:rRNA from 1 species
CAAGCGGUGGAGCAUUGUUUUAAUUCGAUGAACGCGAAGAACCUUACUUACUCUUGACAUCCUGCGAACUUGUAAGAGAUCACUUGGUGCCUUCGGGAGCGCAGAGACAGGUGCUGCAUGGCUGUCGUCAGCUCGUGUUGUGAAAUGUUGGGUUAAGUCCCGUAACGAGCGCAACCCUUGUCCUUAUUUGCCAGCGGGUAAUGCCGGGAACUCUAAGGAGACUGCCGGUGACAAACCGGAGGAAGGUGGGGACGACGUCAAGUCAUCAUGGCCCUUACGAGUAGGGCUACACACGUGCUACAAUGGCCGGUACAAAGGGUUGCGAGCUCGCGAGAGUCAGCUAAUCCCGAAAAGCCGGUCUCAGUCCGGAUCGGAGUCUGCAACUCGACUCCGUGAAGUCGGAAUCGCUAGUAAUCGUGAAUCAGAAUGUCACGGUGAAUACGUUCCCGGGCCUUGUACACACCGCCCGU